rnacentral:rRNA from 1 species
AAUCAACGCUGGCGGCGUGCCUAACACAUGCAAGUCGAACGCGAAAGCCCCUUCGGGGGCAAGUAGAGUGGCGUCCGGGUGAGUAACACGUGGGUAAUCUACCUCCGGGUGGGGAAUAACUCGCCGAAAGGCGGGCUAAUACCGCAUAAUGCAGCGGCACCGAAUGGUGAUUAGUUGUUAAAGCGGGGGACCUUAGGGCCUCGCGUCUGGAGAGGAGCCUGCGGCAGAUUAGCUUGUUGGAGGGUAAUGGCCUACCAAGGCUGCGAUCUGUAGCUGGUCUGAGAGGACGGCCAGCCACACUGGCACUGACACACGGGCCAGACUCCUACGGGAGGCAGCAGUGGGGAAUUUUGGGCAAUGGGCGAAAGCCUGACCCAGCAACGCCGCGUGAAGGAGGAAAUCCUUCGGGAUGUAAACUUCACAAGCAAGGGAAGAGCGCGCAGGGUCGAAUAAACUCUGUGUCCGACGGUACCUUGCGUAAGCCA